rnacentral:piRNA from 1 species
UGAAGUCAGAUUGCCUUUCUCCAG